GCUGGGCAUGGUGGCGGGUGCCUGUAAUCCCAGCUACUUGGGAGGCUGAGGCAGGAGAAUUGCUUGAACCCAGGAGGCAGAGGUUGCAGUGAGCUGAGAUUGUGCCACUGCACUCCAGCCUGGGCGACAGAGCGAGACUCUGUCUCUC
rnacentral:SRP_RNA from 1 species